UCUCCUUUACUUCUGAGUGAGUGCCUGUAACUUUGCUCAGAGAUAAGUCUCCUUUACUUCUGAGUGAGUGCCUGUAACUUUGCUCAGAGAUGAGUCUCCUUUAUUAAUUCUGAGUGAGUGCCAGUAAUUUUACUUCUGAGCGAGUGCUCGUAACUCUGCUCAGAGAUCAGUUUCUUUUACUUCUGAGUGAGUGCCCAUAACUUUGCUCAGAGAUGAGACUCCUUUGCUUCAAAAUUUACUUUUUGAAUUAAUUUUUUGGUUACUCAAUCAAAUUUUUGAAUGAAAUUUUUUUUUUUUUAUUUGUGUCGACAAGCUAAUUUCUAUUGAUAGGUUGGGUUGGUGUCAGAAUGUAAUUGAAGCAAUGGCUUUUAAUAAUAUGAAUAAAUGUGUUUUUGUAUAUCAUGGCUCACAUGGACAGGGGUGACCUCCCAAAAAUUUGAAUGUAUCCCAGAUUUCUGAAACUUUUGGGUACAAUCAUACACAAACAGAAGUUCAAGUGCAAAAUAAAUUUUCUCAUUAUUGUAGUAGAUUAAAAAUUCUGUUUUAUUUUUAAGAGAAUCACCCUGUACUGGUGUCUAUUUCACGUUUUGCAAAUGCACGAAUCAACCAAGCAUUUUUAUGACGUGAAUAUUCAAAUUUGUUACUUAUAUAUUCUUCUAUGCCAUAUUAUUUGCCCACAGGUUUCAAAUAAUGUUAGCAGCUUCAUUUAUCAAAUUUUGCUCUUUUAAAAAUCAUUUUUUCCAAAAUAUGCUAUACCAUUGAGUUUCUGCUGUUAGACCUGCUAUUUAUAUUUCCUCUAUGUUGUGUGCUGGUGUAUAUACUACAAGGAGUGAAAAAACUAUUCUAUUUUAUUCAAGAGUCUUACUGCACACUAAUAUAAAUAUAUUUCUGUACCGUUUUGUCUGACCAAAAUCAUAUUUCCUCAUACAAAUGUAAUCCAAUUCAAUUAGCGUGUUAGGGGUCCCGUUGACAUUUUGUUGUAGCUGAAGCCAUGCUUACCGAAAUAUCUAGUGGUUAGGGUUAGGUCCUAAUUUUAUUCCUGUUUUCCUUAUUUUAGUUCUAUUACGAGUUUGGGGACUGUUUGUGUUAGCCAAGUGAAUAUACUGCGUGCCCAUAGGUUUCAGUCCCUUUACACAACUUGAUGUGAAGUAAGCGAACAAAAUUAGUUACUUUCAUAUUGGUACACAUACUUCUGGAGCGCAGGUUUCAGUCUUUCCUGGUUGUUAUUUUCAUGUACUUUUUAUUAUUGUAAUAUUAUCUGUAUUAUCAAUCACUGCAUUUCUUUUUAAAAAUUCAGAUUCUAGAUAAAAUAAUUUACUUUCUUCAACAAAAGGAGGGGGAACCACCUACUUAAAAAUUAAACCUGACAACACUUCGUAGCAAAGGCCAUGUCAAGUCCUGAGGAGGAGGGGGAACCCCCUGCCAGAAUGAUAAAGCUAUGCUCACAUGAUUCACUGUCAAGAUCGAACCUAGUGGUUGCAAACAAAACUGAAUAUGAUGUCACAAUAGAGUGGAUUGAUUUGGCAGGUGACCGAGUUUGCUAUAUAAAACAAUUACGUCCAGGAAAAGCAGUUGCAAUUGUUACUUACGUCGGCCAUUACUGGGUGUUUUGUGAAACAAACUCUCGUCACCCUCUAGUGGUGAUUCCAGGAAGGCAUUCUGUUUAUUUCCCGAUACCAAGUCACGAACGUGAAUACCAAACAAUCAGGGUUUCGAAUCCUUUAUUAACUUUACGACAGUCGUGUUUAAACUCAAUCCACCGGAAUAUAUUAUCAAAUUACUCCCGGAUGGAAAAUAUUUUUCAAGAGAUUGACUGUCUUGAGCUACCAACGUCAAUUACGAGAUCUCUGAAAAAACUUUUCGAAGACCAGAAUAAUAAAAAUAUACCGAUUUAUAUUUACCCAGAAGAACUUGAGGAGUAAUAUAUAUUUUUUUUUUUGGAGGUGGUUCUUAAUCUUUUUUCUUUUAAAUCAUGAAUUAAUUCUCGGUUAAAAUUCAUUCUAGAAUUGUUGAGAAAUAAUAAUGUUCUCAUUUUCGUAAAUAGCAAUAAAAUUGCAAUAUUUUCAUUUUUUUUUGUGAAAAAUCUGUAUUUCUUUUCAUCAGUACAUAAAUAGCUGCUAUAUAUAACGCUGCGUUGUCUCUUUACCCAUUUACUAUUUCAUUACUUUAUAAUAAAAUUCUUAGUUUUCCUCGAAUUGAGAUCAAACUAUAGCUUAGAGCAGCGGUUCCCAAACUUCUAUUGAUCAUGGUCCCAUUCAGAGAGCUCUUAGCACUCAUGGCCCCCUGUUUAUCAUUGCAAUGGUAUUUAUAGCGUUAUUUUGAUUGGUCGAUUCCAAAUCCUAUUAUGUUCAAACAACAUCAUGCACAAAAAAGCAACGAAAACACCCUGUGAAAUAACCUUAUCAGGCUUUGAAACUAGAAAGAACAGGAAGUUUUCUUGUGAAGGGAAAAGUAAAAUCAGUUUUGUGCCCAGCAUUGUGGCCCUCCUCCAACUUUUCUGUGGCCCCCGAUUAGGAACCGCUUGCCUACUGAAUAUAAAAAAUUCGAGUGUAUCAUAAUUUUUUGAAUGCUGUAUUGUAUCUUUAAAACUA